rnacentral:misc_RNA from 1 species
UUUCCGUAGUGAACUGCGAAGGAUCAUUAAAAAUAUCGCUCGAUGAGAGUGAUUUAAAUCAUCUACCUUUUGAAUUGUUGUUUGUAAUAAUUUUUUUGAUUUUAAAAAAAUAUUUAUGGUUUGUCUAUCCUAAAUUGGUUUGUUGUGAAAUGAAUCAAAUUUAGGAAUAGCUUCAUAAAAAGUUUUUUAAGUCUUAAAGACCUUUUUAAAAUUAAACUUUGUAUUCAUUUGUCUAAAUUUUUUUAAAUAUUAAAAACAACUUUUGACAAUGGAUUCUUGGUUCUCGCAACGAUGAAGAACGCAGCAAAAUGCAUAAGUAAUGUGAAUUGCAGAAUACGUGAAUCAUCAAAUCUUCGAACGCAUAUUGCACUUUUUAGUUACUAAAAAGUAUGUCUGUUUGUAUCAGUAAAAUAUUCUCAUAAAACAUUUUUGUUUUUAUGGUUAUGAGUGUUUACAACGAUAAACAAGUUUUCACUUUAAAUUCAUUUUAAUUUAAGACCAUUUUUGUUUUAAUAAAAAUUGGAUAAAUUUCCCGUAAAAGGAAUAAACUUUCAGUUUUUAAUUAUUACAACAAACGGCCGAUUUAAAAGGAAAUUUAUAACUUAAAUAACUUGAUCUCAAAUCAGAUAAAGUACCGUGAACUUAAUCAUAUAAGCGAGGAAAAGAAACUAACAGGACUCCUUAGUAACGGCGAGUGAAGCGGAAGAGCUCAAUUGAAAUCUUCAAGGUUCUACCUUGACGAAUUGUAGUUUAAAGAAGUGUUUUCUGUAAUGAGUAGCAAAGUUCCUUGGAAUGGACAUCAUAGAGGGUGAGAAUCCGUAUUUGGUUAUUCAUUCUAGCUUUGUGAUACACUUUCAAAGAGUCGGAUGUUUGGGAAUGCAGUCCAAAAUGGGUGGUAAAUUUCAUCUAAAGCUAAUAUUGGCGAGAGACCGAUAGCGAACAAGUACCGUGAGGGAAGAUGAAAGAAUUGAAAAAGAGUUAACAGUACGUGAAAUGUCAAAAGGAAGCGUUGACACAGUGUUGUUUCGAAAUCAAUUACGAAUGGCUUGAUUUGUGUUGUAUUGACCUUAUCAGCUUCUUCACUUUUUUCGAGUCUUUCUUAAUGCACUUUCGGUAACAAGUCACAUCAAUUCUUUGUUGUAAAGAGUAUCGGAAGGUGCUUUCUUUCGGAGAAGUGUUUAUAGCCCUAUACUUCUACAACGGAGAGAUUGAGGUCUGCAGCGUAAUCUCGGGUUAGAUACAUUGUGCUAAGUUGUAGCUUUUCAUAGACAACUUGUUGACUAUGUUUAGUCAUGCGGCUUACUCGUUAUGCUAUUUUACCUACGCUUAGGAUG